GAUGAAGAACGCAGCGAAAUGCGAUAAGUAGUGUGAAUUGCAGAAUUCAGUGAAUCAUCGAAUCUUUGAACGCACAUUGCGCCCCUUGGUAUUCCAUGGGGCAUGCCUGUUCGAGCGUCAUUUGUACCUUCAAGCUUUGCUUGGUGUUGGGUGUUUGUCUCGCCUUUGCGUGUAGACUCGCCUUAAAAUAAUUGGCAGCCGGCGUAUUGAUUUCGGAGCGCAGUACAUCUCGCGCUUUGCACUCAUAACGACAGCGUCCAAAAGUACAUUUUACACUCUUGACCUCGGAUCCGGUAGGGAUACCCGCUGAACUUAAGCAUAUCAAUAAGCGGAGGA
rnacentral:misc_RNA from 1 species